GUAGGUGGCAAGCGUUGUCCGGAAUUAUUGGGCGUAAAGCGCGCGCAGGCGGUCCUUUAAGUCUGAUGUGAAAGCCCGCGGCUCAACCGUGGAGGGUCAUUGGAAACUGGGGGACUUGAGUACAGAAGAGGAAAGCGGAAUUCCAAGUGUAGCGGUGAAAUGCGUAGAGAUUUGGAGGAACACCAGUGGCGAAGGCGGCUUUCUGGUCUGUAACUGACGCUGAGGCGCGAAAGCGUGGGGAGCAAACAGGAUUAGAUACCCUGGUAGUCCACGCCGUAAACGAUGAGUGCUAAGUGUUAGGGGGUUUCCCGCCCCCCUUAGUGCUGCAGCUAACGCAUUAAGCACUCCGCCUGGGGGAGUACGGCCGCAAGGCUG
rnacentral:rRNA from 1 species